GCAGCGGCCUCUAUUGCCUCAUCAGUGUAAUGGAGCUUGUGAUGAAUCUCAUACCUCUCCCGAAGCCCUUUCAAGAUCUGUAUGGUUUCAUCCACAGAAGGUUCAGGGACUUUAACUGGCUGGAACCUUCUCUCUAGUGCAGGGUCUUUCUCAAUGUGCUUUCUGUACUCAUCCAGGGUUGUGGCUCCAAUACACUGUAGCUCGCCUCUAGCCAGGGCAGGUUUCAAGAUGUUUGCA
rnacentral:misc_RNA from 1 species